rnacentral:rRNA from 1 species
CAGCAGCCGCGGGAAUACGAAGGGUGCAAGCGUUAAUCGGAAUUACUGGGCGUAAAGCGCGCGUAGGUGGUUUGGUAAGAUGGAUGUGAAAUCCCCGGGCUCAACCUGGGAACUGCAUCCAUAACUGCCUGACUAGAGUACGGUAGAGGGUGGUGGAAUUUCCUGUGUAGCGGUGAAAUGCGUAGAUAUAGGAAGGAACACCAGUGGCGAAGGCGACCACCUGGACUGAUACUGACACUGAGGUGCGAAAGCGUGGGGAGCAAACAGGAUUAGAUACCCCGGUAGUCCCUGUCUCUUAUAU